UGUAAGUCUUUUUUAAGAUAACCGAUUUGUAUACAAAAAUCUUUUUAAAUCAAUUCCGUCCGUUAACAAAAAAAAAAAUUUUUUUUACGAUGUAGAACCCUUAAAUGUAGAAUAAUUAGAAAAAAAGUUUGUAUACCUAAGCCUGUGUUUAGACAAAAUUACGCAUGAAUGAUGUUGAAGAAAUUCAUUUUCUUUUGGAUUGUGAAAACUUUUAAAUGAUAAAAAUAUCCCUUUAGUGAAAAAAACAAAACGAAUGAAACCAAACGAUGUGAACGACUAAGAAGACAAAGUAAUUAUCAACGUACAAUCACCAUCACAGCAACCAAUGAAAAGUGAUUGCCCAUUUAAAAAUGGACCUAGAUGGAAUUCAGUUCUACUAAAUGCAAGCAAAAAUUUAAGUAUUUCUAUCGUCCAAGCUAUUAUCAAUUUUCAAGUAGCAAGUUUUCUCAAUCUGAACGUAAAAACGUUUUGCAUAUUCUACGUCGAUCACAAGAAUAAGCAGUAAAUAUCGUUUUGAUUUUUUUAGUUUAAGAAUUUUUUGUAUUUUUUUUAAUCGUAUAAUUUUUGUAUGAGAACAUUGUUUCACUUUUUUUUUUUCGGUAAUUGAUGGAAGAAAAAAAGUUUAUUUAGAAAACACGCUUAUGGUUCUUAAUUAUUUUUAUAAACCUGGUCGUACAUGACGAAAUAAAAAUAAGAUUAUAGUCUUUUGGGGACAAUUUAUUGAAUGUAGAAAAAUUCAAUUUUUUAUAUAGACUACUUUAGGGUUAUACUUUUGUCGUGUUGUGAGUCAUAUUCCUUUGAAAGCACCAGAUCCCAUCUGAACUCUGACCUUAACCAAAGGAAAAGUCGUUCAGUACUAGUUAUGGGAGACUGACUGGGAAUCGCAGACUGGUAACAAGUUUUAAAAAAUUUGAUUCAGUGUUCCCCGUUUGAGGGUAGGCUAUAUGUCGAGUAAUGAGCUUCGAAAAGAUACCUCAUAACGUAACGGUUACGCCUUCGUCAAAUUUAAUGUUGACUUAGCUGAACAACGGCUAAGUUUUCCGUUGCUGUAAAUGGUGAAAUGCCAACAAGAUUUUUUUUGGAAAUAGAAUGUUACGUGUAAUCUUUGUUUAAAUGGUUUUUUUGUAUUUUUUUAUUAAUCCUAACAGAUUUAAUGAAACUCUUUAAAUAAUUACUGUACAUAAACGAGGGCCUAAUAAGUGUCGUUUCCAGUUUUCGUAAAAAUAUUUUUAAAGAAAAAACUUUUAAAACCCUUUAAAAAUAAUUUAUGACUUUUAUUGCAAUCACUGGAUUAUUAAAACUUUAAUUUUUUGUUUUUAUAGUCUUUUGUAUACAAUACAUUUACUGAGCAAUAAACACGUUACUUGAAUCGAUUAGUGAAAACUGAUCUAAUAACCAUUACGAGAUAAGCUAUCUUUUCAGAGCUCAUAAAUAAGGCGUAUUAAUUUUUUUUACGGAGAGAAGGGGGGAGAAAUAACACUGAGUUCAACGGAAAUUUUUCUAUUGAUUUAAUCGACUCAUCAGUUUUAGUCGAUUACAGCUGGUUGCUAGACCAACUCCAGAUACUGACUAAGGCUCAUUUUGAAGAAACCCUUCCAUCUUUCAACUCUUGAGUGACGAAUCCAUUUGUAUAACGUUUUUUAUAGGUUUUCAUUAAGAACAACGAAAAAGAUAUUUUUUAUUAAGAAUAAAAAGAAAUCGCAAAGAUACAUUUUAAUCCAUUACUAAGAGUAUAUCAAGAGGCAAUGGGAGAGGUUAGAGCAUGUUGUUUUGGGGUCUGCCAAAGCCAACUGUUCUACUGGAUCUCACCUUAUCAUUUAUUGUAUCAUUGCGCGGAUGCUGUAUAGGGUUUCAUGCGCUAAAUACUGUACUUUUUCAUGAGACAUAUUUUGCAGUUCGGGCUUCAUUGAUUUUCGUUAAUAUGUCCUCGAUUAUAGUCCUGUUGUACCAAUACUGAUAUCCUCGUUAACUAGAAACACAAAUACUUUCUGUAGUUGUAAAAGCGUUCAAAUCGAUUAACGAUCAGGAAUCAACACCUUAUAGGUGGCCAAGACGACCUUGAAAUGCAUUAGAUUAAUUUGUAAUAUUAAAUCAGUUUAAUUAAGUCAAAAACAUUUCUAGAUUAUCGACUAUAAUGUAUACCCUCUGUGUUUCCAUUUUUUUGACGUUUUGUUGCAUCUAGUGUGGCGUAAAGAAAAACAAGGGCCUUUUAUCAACCAGCCAACACUCAACCGAGUUACAGUCCGACGGUUCAUAUUGAUUCUGAAAAGCUUCAAUCAACGGAUAAAACAAUUUUGCUAACAAAAACUUUCUUUGUAACCCCUUAUUCAAGAUAGGUUUAAUCAGAACAUUCUUCGUAACAAAGAUGCUGUUUAGUGAAUCGGACGACCCCUAA